rnacentral:ncRNA from 1 species
GGGGGUAUGGCGAAAUCGGUAGACGCUACGGACUUAAUUGAAUUGAGCCUUGGUAUGGAAACCCACUAAGUGAUAACUUUCAAAUUCAGAGAAACCCUGGAAUUAAUAAAAAGGGGCAACCCUGAGCCAAAUCCUGUUUUCCGAAACCAAAGGUUCAGAAAGUGAAAAAGGGAUAGGUGCAGAGACUCAAUGGAAGUUGUUCUAACAAAUGGAGUUGGCUGCGUUAGUAAAGAAAUCUUUCCAUCGAAAAUUCCGAAAGGAUAAAACGUAUACGUAUUGAAUACUAUAUCAAAUGAUUAAUGACGCCUCGACUGAAUCCGUAUUUUUUAUAUGAAAACGGAAGAAUUGGUGUGAAUAGAUUCCACAUUGAAGAAAGAAUCGAAUAUUCAUUGAUUAAAUGAUUCACUCCAUAGUCUGAUAGAUCUUUUCAAGAAUUGAUUAAUCGGACGAGAAUAAAGAUAGAGUCCCGUUCUACAUGUCAAUGUCGGCAACAAUGAAAUUUAUAGUAAGAGGAAAAUCCGUCGACUUUAAAAAUCGUGAGGGUUCAAGUCCCUCUAUCCCCAA